rnacentral:rRNA from 1 species
UUAAGCGAAUAAGCGUACACGGUGGAUGCCUAGGCAAUCAGAGGCGAUGAAGGACGUGCUAAUCUGCGAAAAGCGUCGGUAAGGUGAUAUGAACCGUUAUACCCGACGAUAUCCGAAUGGGGAAACCCAGUAUCCAAUGGAUACUAUCAUUAACUGAAUCCAUAGGUUAAUGAGGCGAACCGGGAGAACUGAAACAUCUCAGUACCCCGAGGAAAAGAAAUCAACCGAGAUUCCCCUAGUAGCGGCGAGCGAACGGGGAGCAGCCCAGAGUCUUAAUCAAUAGCAGUGUCAGGAGAACGGUCUGGAAAGUCCGGCAGUAAAGGGUGAUAGCCCCGUAUCUGAAGAUGCUGUUAUUGUGAACUCGACGAGUAGGGCGGGACACGUGUUAUCCUGUCUGAAUAUGGGGGGACCAUCCUCCAAGGCUAAAUACUCCUGAUUGACCGAUAGUGAACCAGUACCGUGAGGGAAAGGCGAAAAGAACCCCGGCGAGGGGAGUGAAAAAGAACCUGAAACCGUGUACGUACAAGCAGUAGGAGCCUCUUUAUGGGGUGACUGCGUACCUUUUGUAUAAUGGGUCAGCGACUUAUAUUCUGUAGCAAGGUUAACCGUAUAGGGGAGCCGUAGGGAAACCGAGUCUUAACUGGGCGAAUGAGUUGCAGGGUAUAGACCCGAAACCCGGUGAUCUAUCCAUGGGCAGGUUGAAGGUUGGGUAACACUAACUGGAGGACCGAACCGACUAAUGUUGAAAAAUUAGCGGAUGACUUGUGGAUGGGGGUGAAAGGCCAAUCAAACCGGGAGAUAGCUGGUUCUCCCCGAAAGCUAUUUAGGUAGCGCCUCGUGAAUUCAUCUUCGGGGGUAGAGCACUGUUUCGACUAGGGGGUCAUCCCGACUUACCAACUCGAUGCAAACUGCGAAUACCGAAGAAUGUUAUCACGGGAGACACACGGCGGGUGCUAACGUCCGUCGUGAAGAGGGAAACAACCCAGACCGCCAGCUAAGGUCCCAAAGUCAUGGUUAAGUGGGAAACGAAGUGGGAAGGCUCAGACAGCCAGGAUGUUGGCUUAGAAGCAGCCAUCAUUUAAAGAAAGCGUAAUAGCUCACUGGUCGAGUCGGCCCGCGCGGAAGAUGUAACGGGGCUAAACCAUGCACCGAAGCUGCGGCAGCGACACAAAGUGUUGUUGGGUAGGGGAGCGUUCUGUAAGCCUGCGAAGGUGUACUGUGAGGUAUGCUGGAGGUAUCAGAAGUGCGAAUGCUGACAUAAGUAACGAUAAUGCGGGUGAAAAACCCGCACGCCGGAAGACCAAGGGUUCCUGUCCAACGUUAAUCGGGGCAGGGUGAGUCGACCCCUAAGGCGAGGCUGAAAAGCGUAGUCGAUGGGAAACGGGUUAAUAUUCCCGUACUGGUGGUAACUGCGAUGGGGGAACGGAGAAGGCUAGGUUGUCCGGGCGACGGUCGUCCCGGUUCAAGCAGGUAGGCAGAGUGAUUAGGCAAAUCCGGUCACUUAAUGCUGAGAUGUGAUGACGAACCACCAAGGUGGUGAAGCAAUUGAUGCCCCGCUUCCAGGAAAAGCCUCUAAGCUUCAGGUUACCAACAAUCGUACCCCAAACCGACACAGGUGGUCAGGUAGAGAAUACUCAGGCGCUUGAGAGAACUCGGGUGAAGGAACUAGGCAAAAUGGUGCCGUAACUUCGGGAGAAGGCACGCUGGCGGUAGGUAAAGUCCCUUGCGGACGGCGCUGAAGCCAGUCGAAGAUACCAGCUGGCUGCAACUGUUUAUUAAAAACACAGCACUGUGCAAACACGAAAGUGGACGUAUACGGUGUGACGCCUGCCCGGUGCUGGAAGGUUAAUUGAUGGGGUUAGCCGUAAGGCGAAGCUCCUGAUCGAAGCCCCAGUAAACGGCGGCCGUAACUAUAACGGUCCUAAGGUAGCGAAAUUCCUUGUCGGGUAAGUUCCGACCUGCACGAAUGGCGUAAUGAUGGCCAGGCUGUCUCCACCCGAGACUCAGUGAAAUUGAACUCGCUGUGAAGAUGCAGUGUACCCGCGGCAAGACGGAAAGACCCCGUGAACCUUUACUAUAGCUUGACACUGAACAUUGAGCCUUGAUGUGUAGGAUAGGUGGGAGGCUUUGAAGUGUGGACGCCAGUCUGCAUGGAGCCAACCUUGAAAUACCACCCUUUAACGUUUGAUGUUCUAACCUAGGCCCAUAAACUGGGUCGGGGACCGUGUCUGGUGGGUAGUUUGACUGGGGCGGUCUCCUCCUAAAGAGUAACGGAGGAGCACGAAGGUUGGCUAAGCAUGGUCGGACAUCAUGCGGUUAGUGCAAAGGCAUAAGCCAGCUUGACUGCGAGAGUGACGGCUCGAGCAGGUACGAAAGUAGGUCUUAGUGAUCCGGUGGUUCUGAAUGGAAGGGCCAUCGCUCAACGGAUAAAAGGUACUCCGGGGAUAACAGGCUGAUACCGCCCAAGAGUUCAUAUCGACGGCGGUGUUUGGCACCUCGAUGUCGGCUCAUCACAUCCUGGGGCUGAAGUAGGUCCCAAGGGUAUGGCUGUUCGCCAUUUAAAGUGGUACGCGAGCUGGGUUUAGAACGUCGUGAGACAGUUCGGUCCCUAUCUGCCGUGGGCGUUGGAAGAUUGAGAGGGGUUGCUCCUAGUACGAGAGGACCGGAGUGAACGCACCACUGGUGUUCGGGUUGUCAUGCCAAUGGCAUUGCCCGGUAGCUAAGUGCGGAAGAGAUAACCGCUGAAAGCAUCUAAGCGGGAAACUUGCCUCGAGAUGAGUCUUCCCUGUCGCUUUAAGCGACCUAAAGGAACGUUUAAGACUAAGACGUUGAUAGGCUGGGUGUGUAAGCGUAGCGAUACGUUGAGCUAACCAGUACUAAUGAACCGUGAGGCUUAACC